UACGUAGGUGGCAAGCGUUGUCCGGAUUUACUGGGCGUAAAGCGAACGCAGGCGGAGUGUUAAGUAGGAAGUGAAAGGUUGGAGCUCAACUCUGACACGGCUUCCUAUACUGGCAUUCUUGAGUCUUGGAGAGGAAAGCGGAACGACACGUGUAGCGGUGAAAUGCGUUGAUAUGUGUCGGAACACCGAUGGCGAAAGCAGCUUUCUGGACAAGUACUGACGCUGAGGUUCGAAAGCCAAGGUAGCGAAC
rnacentral:rRNA from 1 species